CGGGUCAACAGAGGGAGGCAAAGCCGCGAGGUGGAGCGAAUCCCUAAAAGCCGUCCCAGUUCGGAUUGCAGGCUGCAACCCGCCUGCAUGAAGUUGGAAUCGCUAGUAAUCGCGGAUCAGCAUGCCGCGGUGAAUACGUUCCCGGGCCUUGUACACACCGCCCGUCACACCAUGAGAGUCGGGGACACCCGAAGUCCGUAGUCUAACCGCAAGGGGGACGCGGCCGAAGGUGGAUUCGAUAAUUGGGGUGAAGUCGUAACAAGGUAGC
rnacentral:rRNA from 1 species